ACACGUAGGAGGCAAACGUUAUCCGGAUUUACUGGGCGUAAAGCGCGUGUAGGUGGUUCUGUAAGUAGGGCGUGAAAGCUCCCGGCUCAACUGGGAGAGGCCGUUCUAAACUACAGAACUAGAGGAUGGUAGAGGGAGGUGGAAUUCCGGGUGUAGCGGUGGAAUGCGCAGAUAUCCGGAGGAACACCAGUGGCGAAAGCGGCCUCCUGGACCACUCCUGACACUCAGACGACGAAAGCGUA
rnacentral:rRNA from 1 species